GGGCCGUUAGCUCAGCUGGCAGAGCAGCGGGCUUUUAACCCGAAGGUCGUGGGUUCGAUCCCCACACGGCCCACCA
rnacentral:tRNA from 2 species